rnacentral:tRNA from 1 species
AUACUUUAAUAUAUGAUGUAUAUUAAUUUUUGAUAUUAGAAGUGAUAGUUUAACCCUAUCAAGUAUAA